AUAUGCAGGUGCAGGCAGCGCCAGACGAUUGAGCUUCCACGGCCAGCAACAGAGCUUUCAGUUCCCGACCUUUCUUCGCUACAGCGCAUCUCACCGGAAACGCGGCGAUCAGAUCGGCGACCGGCUGCUUCGUCUCAAAGACGAUCCGCAGUUCGAGGAGCAGCAGCAAGAUCAAGACUUCGGAGGACCAGACCAGCAGCAGUUUGAGGAAGGCAAAUGGACCCUUGAUCAUGUUUUUGACCCAUGAAAUCACCAAAUCUAUCACAUUUACUUUUAUGUACAUGCAUGUGUCUAUAAUAUGAUGGGAACCGAGUUAAGGACAUGCCUAGUAUUGUUUACCUUA